GGAGGGCCUCCCCACAGUUUCGAGAUUAUGUAAGACACCAAAUCUGUGCAUAGCUUUUGGGUAUGUGUGGGAAAGAAGUAAUAGAAGUGGCAAGAAAGACAAAAUAAAACGGAACUUCCUGCCAGCCCAAGUAGUCCUCCCUUGCCUGUUGAAAUGAGACUCAGAGCUGCUACAUUAUUACCUACAUUUUUAAUCUUUCUUGAGCCUGGCAUCCUUUGGCCUCUCCGAAGAAGAUCACUAGCAGGGUACGUUAAUGCAAGUCUGAGACUUCAUAUCAUUCUACUUGUACAUAAAUCAGCAAGCAUCUUUAACAGGGCAUUUUUAGUCCUUCUGCUUGGAAAUGAAAAUACUGAGGAACAACACAUUUAAGAAAAGGUAUUUACUUUUCACUACUUGGUCUUUACUCUUCAAAAGUAAAUUAUUUUAUCAAAACCACAAGCAAAUGUCACUUGACACCUGUUAGGAUGGCUACUGCCAAA